GUCCGUUGCAGGGCAACAGCCCUCGUUGGCUAUCACAUGACCCAAGUUCCUGUUGGCCACCAGGUCACCACCCAAGAGGCUACCCUGAAAGGAAAGACAAUGGAAUUCCUGAGAGGAAAAUCACCACCGUGCAUGAUGUCACAGGUGAGGCUGGACCAUACUUGGAGACACCAUCUCGCCCAGCCUCAGUCCUGCAACACCUUGGAUUCUCCAGGUGACAUCCUGGUCCAGGGACUGUGCCUAGAAUGCGCCAUCAGCUCUGAAAGGGAGGAGAUUAAGAGCAGGGGCUCCACAGUCCCUGGCUGGGCUCAGGCCUCUGACCAGCAGGGAGACCUGGACAAAGCACUUCAUCUCUGAACCUCAGAUUCCGAAUCUACAAAAUGGGGGUAAGCUGAGGUAAGUGAGGAUUAAAUGACAUCAUCCAUUUAAUAUGUUUAGAAUAAUGUCUGGCACAUAGUAAGUCCCCCGGAACUGCAGAUACUGUCCUUUAUUUCAGUCAUUCAGUGGGCAGACUUGCCUCAGGGCAAAAGUGGCCUGGCCUGGUUCUAGUGACUCCCACCAGGGAGCAGGUCCAUCAACUAGGUAGGAGCAGGUGGCACGUGGGACCAAUCUCUGGUUGACAAAGCGUAAGACUGCAGCAUCACACUUGUAAAUAACCACAACAGGGUC
rnacentral:lncRNA from 1 species